UACAGAGGGCGCGAGCGUUGUCCGGAAUCACUGGGCGUAAAGGGCGCGUAGGUGGCCACCAUAAGGCCGCGGUGAAAGUUCGGGGCUCAACCCCGGAUCGGCCGCGGCGACUGUGGGGCUCGGGUACUGUAGAGGCAGAUGGAAUUCCGGGUGUAGCGGUGGAAUGCGUAGAGAUCCGGAAGAACACCAGUGGCGAAGGCGGUCUGCUGGGCAGUGGGCUCGAAAGGGCCCUUUAACCGACACUGAGGCGCGACAGCGUGGGGAGCAAACAGG
rnacentral:rRNA from 1 species